rnacentral:rRNA from 1 species
GGCGGAGACGGUGGGCGCUGCGUACCGGACCUACCGGAAGCUGCAGCACCGGCUGCGGCUCGACGGGAUGGAAAAGGCGCGCGUCGAGCCCGAGCGGGUCGCGGCCGAGCGGCAGGCCGUGGCCGCGCUGUGGGCGCGGGUGUUCGGCGCGUAGCGGGACGCGCGGCGGCGAGGCGGGAAUCGAAGCGGGGGCGGAGCAGGGGGCUGGGCGACGGGCGCUCGAAUGGGGCGUCGCCGCCCGCCGCUCGAGGCGCGGAGCGCGUGGGCCGAUGCCGCCGUAUGGCGCGGCUGGCGACGGCGCGCCGCCGCGCCGCCGCCGCGUGCGCGAUGCUGGGGCGCUGGCGGCGUGCUGAACGGCCGCGUGCAGCCGGGCGGCGACGCCGAGGCCAGGCAGGAAGCGAGGGGCAGCGGUCGCGGGCCCCGCGUCAUCACCCGCCAGUUGACAGUCGACCGCCCACUGGCCAUCCGCCGCCAUUCGCUACCAUCCGGCAGCCGCCGGCCGCCCACUGCCGGCCGCCGCCCGAAAAGCCGUCGCGGCCGGCGCGCGCCACGUCACGCGGUGAGCAUUUCCUUCGCAUGCUUGCGCGUCGUCGCGGUGAUCUCGAGGCCGCCCAGCAUCCGCGCGACUUCCUCGAUCCGGCUCGCGCGAUCGAGCGGCACGACCGUCGACACGGUGCCGCCUUCGCCGUCCUCGCCCUUCGCGACCUGAAAGUGAUGGUCGCCGCGCGCGGCGACCUGCGGCAGGUGCGUGACGCACAGCACCUGCCGCAUCUGUCCGAGCUGAUGCAGCAGCCGCCCGACCACCUCGGCGACGCCGCCGCCGAUGCCCGUGUCGACUUCGUCGAAGAUGAGCGUCGGCGUCGGGCUCGCCGCGCUCGCGAUCACCGCGAGCGCGAGGCUGAUCCGCGCGAGCUCGCCGCCCGAGGCGACCUUCGCGAGCGGCCGCAGCGGCACGCCCGCAUGGCCCGCGACGCGGAACUCGACCUGCUCGAGCCCGUGCGCGCCGCCUUCGGCGAGCGGCACGAGCGCGACCUCGAAGCUGCCGCCCGCCAUCGACAAUUCCUGCAUGCCGGUGGUCACCGCCACGCCGAGCGCCUUCGCCGCUUGCGCGCGCGCCUUCGACAGCUUCUGCGCGUCGGCCAGAUACGCCUGCUUCGCCUUGUCGGCAACCGCCUGCAGCGCGCUCAGAUCGGCCGCGGCGUCGAGCUCGGCGAGCUGCGCGCGGCGCGCCUCGUGCUCGUCGUGCAGCGUCUCGGGCGGCAGCCGGAACUUGCGCGCGGUCGAGUGCAGCGCGUCGAGCCGCGUCUCGACCUGCGCGAGCCGGUCCGGGUCGAGGUCGAGCCGCUGCGCGUAGUGCGACAGCGA